rnacentral:rRNA from 1 species
CUCGACUGCACGAAGCUGGAAUCGCUAGUAAUCGCGGAUCAGCACGCCGCGGUGAAUACGUUCCCGGGCCUUGUACACACCGCCCGUCACACCAUGGAAGUCUGCAAUGCCCGAAGCCGAUGGCCUAACCACUUAUGUGGAAGGAGCCGUCUAAGGCAGGGCAGAUGACUGGGGUGAAGUCGUAACAAGGUACC